rnacentral:rRNA from 1 species
AUACGGAGGGAGCGAGCGUUAUCCGGAAUUACUGGGUGUAAAGGGAGCGCAGGCGGGUGUGUAAGUCAGAUGUGAAAUACAUGGGCUCAACCCAUGGGCUGCAUUUGAAACUGCCUUUCUUGAGUGAAGUAGAGGUAAGCGGAAUUCCUGGUGUAGCGGUGAAAUGCGUAGAUAUCAGGAGGAACACCGGUGGCGAAGGCGGCUUACUGGGCUUUUACUGACGCUGAGGCUCGAAAGCGUGGGGAGCAAACAGGAUUAGAUACCCUGGUAGUCCACGCUGUAAACGAUGAUUACUAGGUGUGGGGGGACUGACCCCUUCCGUGCCGCAGUUAACACAAUAAGUAAUCCACCUGGGGAGUACGGCCGCAAGGUUGAAACUUAAAGGAAUUGACGGGG